rnacentral:lncRNA from 1 species
CCGGACCUGCAUUUGCACCCCAAUGCAAUGCACAUACAUUUAGCUUGCUGCAUGAGCUUGCCUGGCAGUCAGAGUGUUCCCGUCAGGACCCUUACGUCGCAGCAAGUGCAUUUACCCUCGCAUCGAAAGGCUUAGUGGGAGACUACAAAGAAAACAAAUUUUACAACACCACUUAUUGGCACAUGUCGGAGGAAGUUGAGGCCACAUACCCAAUGCCUGGUCUUGGACUGCCAGGGUCAUCUCGGCCACCCGUGUCUUGGACAAGUGAAGGCGGUGGUGCAAUUGCUGCUCCUGCUAAGCCUGCUGCAAAGCGAGAAAGACAAACGACGUUUGACAUCAAAGGAAAUCAAUGGCACAGGGACAAAGCCGGUCUGCCCCAUGUAGCACGCCCAGACAGGAGCAUGUGAGCGUGCAUUCAAGCCCUGUGUGGCAGUUGCGCAUUGCUGUGCCUGCUGCGUAGUGUAAAUAUACUGUGGCCAUAGGUGGGGUACCACCACUCUACCACUACUGGCGCCACCACGCUGCCCUGCUCCUUCAAAACAAAAGACAUUGAGGGCAAAUGGUAAAGGUAACCACUGCACUCCCAGUAUGUAUGCUUAUACUAUGUCUCU